rnacentral:snoRNA from 1 species
AUUGCACAUUGUUAGAGCCUGGGGUGAGGCCCCUGGUGGCCUGUGGACCCACAAGUGUAGGUAGUGCGCUACACGAGGGGCAAGGCUUUCGCUAACACUCCACUCCGGCCCAGUGGGUGGAGCUUGAUAGUAACCCUUGCUACAGGU